rnacentral:rRNA from 1 species
AGCAGCCGCGGUAAUUCCAGCUCCAAUAGCGUAUAUUAAAGUUGUUGCAGUUAAAAAGCUCGUAGUUGAAUUUCGGGGUUAGUAGGUUGGUCAUGCCUCUGGUAUGUACUGGCCUCACUGAUUCCUCUUCCUGAUGAACCGUAUGCCAUUAAUUUGGUGUUGCGGGGAAUUUGGACUGUUACUUUGAAAAAUUGAGUGUUUAAAGCAAGCUAACGCUUGAAUACAUUAGCAUGGAAUAAUGAAAUAGGACGUUCGAUCCUAUUUUGUUGGUUUCUAGGAUUGACGUAAUGAUUAAUAGGGAUAGUUGGGGCAUUAGUAUUCAAUUGUCAGAGGUGAAAUUUCUUGGAUUUAUUGAAG